UUUCUCUCUUUCUUGGCUUUCUGUUUUACUUCUCCUUGUCUUCCUCACUGAACAGAUACCACAGUAGAGUAUGACUCUAAGCUAUGAUGAAGACUGCAAUUAGUAAUUUUAUAUGCAAGGAGAAACAUCUCAAAAGAACAAAAGAACAACAGGAUAAUUUAUUUUCUGUCAUAUACACGGGCAUGUAUAUGACAAUGACAUACUUCAAGAUGAACCAGAUAUUUCCUGCUAAAAAUGACCAAUUCCACAUUCCUACAAUUCAGUAUCAUAUUCUGUAGGUGUUCCAGACAGAUUAUGCCAAUGAAACUCUGGAGGCAAGAGUAUUUUUAUGUCUUUCUUGCACAGUCUAUUUCAUUCCAGAGAUAUAACAGCAAGAAUACUUUCUCUUGAAAUCCUAAUAAAUACACCAUUUUUAGAUAUAGUUUGAUUUCAUGCUGUCUUGAAAAAGUGAUUGACUUCGAUUUUUGAAACCCUGCACACAGCAUAAAUAGUGCAAAGCCACCUUUCCCAUUCGUAGAGUAUUAUUAUUGGAAACUUGGAAAGUUUUAUUUCUAUUUAAUCUUCUGCUUCAUGCCUCCGCUGAUACUGAAAUCAUUAUCAAGUGUCAUCUUGAUGUGUUACCUCAUGCAGUGAAUUACUGAAGUCAACUGAAGAGCAACAAACAGAAUGAAGACCAAUCUGCUUGCAGACCUGUAUAGCUUCACUGAUGUCAAUACUAUUAGACUUAUCUAUGUCCAACUUCAGUUCAACAUAGAAUAGACCUUUACUUAGUUUGUUAGCAGAAUACACAUUUAAAUUCUCAGCCUGUUCCAAUGUCAACUUUAGUCAACGUAAGUCUGCACUAACCUCAAGAGUGUUUAGACCAUAUCCCAGUUCUUGAUUAUGGAAUAGAAAUGGGUUUAUUACUAUUGUUAUUAUUAUUAUUAUUAUGGAUAAUAGAUACAAGAUGAAUACAAGACAGUAAAAUGGGUAACUAUCUAAACAACAACUGCAUCAUUGGAUUGGAACAUUCUGGCUGAAGCUGGAGCAGGCAUAUGUGGUUGUCAGGAGAGACAGAGGGGGAAUUGUCUCUUUUAUCCUUGUUUUGUGAUUGUUUUUCCUUUUGUAAUCAGAUUUCUUUUAACCUGAUUUUGAAACUUUAAAUAUCUAACAUAAAUUGAUUUGAAUUUAUAUCCACUAAGAAUCUGACCUAGAGGUUUUGGACAUUUAUGCUAAGAAGUAAAAUAGUUUAUUCCCUGAUUUACAGUGCAAAGCGUGGCUAUGGGUUGUACCAAUUCCCCAGGACCCUGAGCUUCUUACUUUACCACUCACAAACACCUGGAACAUUACAUCAGUGGCUUACUGGUUUCCAGACACUGGAUUUUCACCCUUGGUGAUCAUCUUGGCAACUGUGAGAGCUGGGUGUGACUCACCUAUUCAGAAAACACGGCAUUAAGUGAAAAGAAAAUAAUGACUGUAAAGAAUUUAUCUGCAGUAUUAUUUCCUAUUAUACAUUUUGCUAUUGCUUUGAAUUUUUCUCUUCCAGGUCUUAACUAACCUUGCGAGUCCAUAAUCAAUGAAAAGCAGGACUGGACAUGCAGAUUCAUACAACUGUCCUGACCAAAAAUCACAUAAUCACUCAGAUGUUUGCUGAAUGAAAGAGCAUACAAAUGCUCUAUAAUCUCAUAGUACCCUUUCGCAAAUUGCUCAACAAGUUGACUACCUGAUGUAGGAAGAAUAAUUUCCUCUGCUAUUUUGUUCUGUAUCCAGCUCUCACAAGCUUCAUUUGAAGACCCACAGUUCUUGUAGCAGGAAACGCAGCUCAUAGUUAAUUCCUCUUCACCAUCUCAAUGCCAAUCAUGAUUUUUAAGGAUCAUUAUAACACAAAAAAUAUUAUUUUUUCAAACUGAGAAGUCACAGCCUGCUCAUUUGCUCUUUGUACGGAUGUUUCCCAUUUCAAUUUAUCCUCCUUGCUUUUCUUGGAAUAUUUGCUAUUUCUAAUUUAACUUCUCUCAGAUAGAGGAUUAAAACUGCAUAGCUUUUGAGAUGUGGGCAAACUGUGGAUUCAGAUAGUGGUAUAAUUAUCUUGUCUAUUCUGCUUUCCAUUUUCCUACUAAUUCCUAACAUUUUAUUUAUGCUUUUUGUUGUUCUUUUUGACUGCUACUGAACAAUAAGCUGAUGGGUUCAUUGAAUAAUUUCACUUCUGAGCAUUAACACUGAGCUUAGAGCCCAUCAUUAAAGACGUGACAUUAGGACUACUUUAGUGCUUAUCAAUUUACAUUUUUCUGUACUGAAAGCCACUGUGAUCUAUCUAGGCAUUCAGUUUUGUAAACUGUGCAGUUCUUCACAGACAGCUCAUUUACAAAUAAGCUACCAAGAACCAUUUCCCACCCAGUUGUUCUCCUGGUGAACAUUGCGUGACUAUCCGUGACUAUAUUUCUUAUCAAAUAUGCGUUGUUUGUAGAGUAUAGAGAGAUGCAUUAUCUGUUCCUACAGAGGAGGAAGUCUUCAACCUAGAUCCAUAACUGAAGAAUUUAAGUAUUUUGUGUCAUAUGUUGCCAAGACCUAAGUCAUGCUGGAGUGCAUCCAUGGGACAGCUUAGACAGGCAGUGUGAUACAAGUGCUGUUCUAUAGAUUAUGGAAACAUGGACUGUUUUCUUCUGGGAUAUUUGCAGGAUGAUUUCUGUAGUAUUCAAAUGUUCCUUCAGCAAUUCAGAAUAACUUAAUGUUCCUUUAAAAGUACAUGGAACAUUAGAAAAGUUCUGGAAGAAGCUUGGCCUGUUCCUGUUUCACUAAGAUUCUUUCAGUUUAAGUGGAUUAUCAUAAAGCAGUAUUGACAAUUGCCGAGGCAAUUGCACACGGUACAGCUCUCUCCAUCAGCUGAGCAGAGAUAAUUAGAUUGAAAACCUGGCUGCAUUAGUUUAAUCCAAUACAGUACCAAAAUGUACAAUCAGUGAUACAUCGUAUCAUCUCAGCACUAUGUCAAAUCAAUACCUGUUCUCAGCAAAAAAAAUGUGCAAGUUAUGCUGGAGAUAUGACUAAUGGGAAUGUUUUUUGGAUCGUGUGUUUGCACUGCAAGGAGUGAUGACAGUUGGUUUCAUCUGGAGUAAUUACAGCUCAGUGGCUUCUAGUUGGGUAAUUACUCAGAGGAAAUUCUCUGAGGGUAGGGAAGCAGAUCUCAGUUUUGUGCUGAAAACAUAUCUAAUAUAAAUUCCUUACAUAUUGAAGAAAAAAUAUCCUCUCCCAACAGGAAGGCAAUGAAAACAGAGUAACAGAAAGACGUAUUUAUUCAGGACCCAAAGAAAGUCGUGUUUAGUAGGUGAUUUUUUUUUUUUUUUUUUUUUCCUGAAUCUUACAGUGUCAGUUUUGGUCAUCACAAUGCCAUGAGUUUCUGGAACAGAUUAAAGAGAGCAGGAAAGUGAUUUUGACAAAGCACUCUGUCAUCUGCAUUACUAAUGCACCAUGUCUCAGAAGGAGCAAAGUAUUAUGUACUUCAUAAAGUAUGCAUACAGUGAAUGCAAUUUAUGAUACAUACUUCAUGAAACAUUGUGAAAAUGUUGUAUCUUGAAAUUAUCUUAGAAUGGUUCUGACCUCCAGGAAGGCCUUUGUAAGCAGAAUGAAUGUGUUAAUUCAACAAUGUGCCUAGACUAUGAAUUCAGGACAUUCUCCGGGAGAGCAAGGAGGUAUUUUACAUUUGAUACCUAAGAGUGCAGUUCCAGAAAGCAAUUGAGUAGGGACAGGAUGUUAUGUACUGGAGCUGUAUUUGAUAAAAUGUUCCCUAUUCUCAAAGCAUUCCUGCUAUUGGAGUAAGGAGCCAAGGAAAGGGGAAUCUUGACAGGAGAAAGUCUGAGUCAAGAGGUGUUGCCAAGGCUCUUCUAUUAGAUUAGAAAGACUACCUUCUGUUUCAUUCUUCUGUUACAAGGAUAACCUGAAGCCUUGAAGUCAGUCUAUCAAACCUUUUGCAGAACUUCUUGGCAAUAAAGCCUUGUUGGCACUGUAGAAUUCUACUUGUAAAAAUCUGGUCUUUAAAUGAAUACUAUCUACAAAUCUUAUAAAACAUAUAUUCCUUCUUCUUCUGUAUUCCCAAGCCUGCCUUUAAAUAAAUUCAUAACUGUGGCACAGCGUGAUGACUUUUGCUGUUUUGUCUCCUUAUAACCUAGAUGAGUGUCAGUUUGCAAGGAAAAAAGAAAGCCAUCUUUCAGUGAGAUCCAUCAAUAGCUUUGUAAAAAUGAAAUGCUUGACACAAGAGACAUUAGUGUGUUUUAUUGUGAAAUUUUAGUGCCUUCUGUGUGCAUAGUAGGAUUCUGAAACACCAGUUUUCUGACAGAAGUUGGAAGUUUCCAGGUGGGAAUGAUAGCAUGGGCUUAUUGCAAAUUCUAAUUCAGGCUUGGUGGAGGACUCAAGGCCUUCUGAAUUACUGAAUUAAACUUGUUUUUGAUGAAACUUUAUUUCAUAACAUUUUACAUCUCUGUAUUGCCAUUUUCAGAACAGUUAAGUCUACCUUGAGGAAUUACUGUUAGGAUUACUCUAUGUAUUCAAACUUCUAGUAAAUAGAGAACAUUUUAUCACAGAUCUUUAUUAUAACUAAAUAAUAUCUGUAUGAAUACAGUAUCUAAUGUCUGGAUCAGCACAGAGUGAGCAGAUUAGGUCUGAGCCUAAAUACCAUAGCAUAUUUCAUUGGCUGAGCUACCUCUUUACAGUGAUUGUAAUUUUAGCAAUGAUGGCAGUAGUAAUCACAACAUACUCCCUAAACAGAAAGAGCUUUGCAAUUUCCCAAGUGAAUGGAAAAAUAAUUUUGUAGGAUCAGUAAAGAUAGCAAUAAUUGUUACAGGAUUUAUUGCAAUUUAUGUGAAGAACCUCAGUUGCUCAUGGUAUACUGUCAGAAGUACAAUACCAUGAAAGUGGAGGCCAUAAUAAGCCUAAGCGUAGCAUAGUUUAAAAGACCAACUUUUUGUUGCUAAUGAAAACAAGAGCUUAUAAAGGGGUGAAGUGACUUCUUUAGAAGCAACAAUGAUCCCAGUGCUGCAAUGCCAUGUCACUUCUUCAAGACAAGAAUGUGAACAUUUUCCAAGAGUUACUCAGAGCUAAGUUGUUACUGGUAAGUGGAAAAAGCUUCCUUCUCCCCCCAGAUUAAGAAGGUCACUGAUAUCCCAACACAGAGAGACAGUAAAAUACUUCAGUUAGGCAGUUCUUUAGUCUAUUACCUGCUUGCUUACUUUGAAGACAACAUGAAAUUGUAUCGGGAGUGUUGGAAGAAACCAGCCUUCCUAAAUUCCCUUAUCCGUUAGGACUGAAUCCCAAGGGACUCUUCGUACCAGCGUCCUCAACAGUUCAAAGUGUGCCCUCCAGAAGUCUGGGCAGUUUUGCUGCCUCCCCCUCCUGACUUCACCAAGAAUUGAGAACUCCACCAUUUUGUAGUCACUCUGUUCAAGAGAGCUCCUGACCUCCACAUCUCCCACCAGUCCAUAUCUACAUAUUAAUUUAAUAUGAGAAAUCCAAUUAAUCUUCUUGUCCACACACUGCAUAAUACAGAAAGGGCAGAAGCUUUUGACUCAUGUUGAGUGUUGAAUGUGUGCAAAGAAAAUUUAAAUUUAAAUUCUUUUUCUACUUUUCUUGAAUGCUUUUUUGAAUUACAAGACAGUUUUCAUUUUGUCAACCUUAAACACAUGAAAAUGUUGAGGAACAUCUUGGCAAGGUGGUUAUCUCUAAACCCUGCAAAUGACUGAGUCUGAAAAUGUUUAUCUUAUAUUUGAAGCUUUUCAGUAUUUUAUACUGCAGUUACUUAUUUGCUUAAGAUAGGGAUAAUGAAAAGACAUUUUCAAUAAAUGAAUACUUAAUUCUCUUACUCUCCUUUCACAAUAACAACUUCUACAAUGUAUUAAAAUUAGAAUAAUGAAAGCUUGCAAUGCUUAUGUUGAUGAAAUUCAGUGACUUUUUCCUGAAAAUAGUGUUCAGAAAAUACAAAGAAUUUCUGAAGGACCAGAGCUUAACAAAAAUUUGGAUGCCUACUGCAUACAGAACAAUGUUUGGGCAACUCCAUUCUUUGUAUGCAAACCUGUAUUUUGGAGUAGACUAAGAUUUUUCCUUCCAGUCAUAGCUCUCUCAUAUUAGUUAAUUUUAUUUAUCUAUCUAUUUAUUUAUUUUUGCAAUUAAACAUCAAAUACAGGUCUUGAAAAAAACAUUUUCCUUUUGUGAACAAACUUGGGCGCUUUAGAGGGAAGUACUGAAUGUUGAUUCUCUUAAGGUGGUGCUUCAAAUAAAAGCUACUCUCAGUUGCAUACAUACAGAUUUCAAUGAAUUGAUUUAAAAAGAAGAGGAUCAAAAUUGAAAGCAGAAUUUCAAAUUACAAUUUUAAUUUUAUGACAAUGGAGUUGUUGAGGUUAGAAUUGACAGACGCACGCAGUUGAAGAAAACUACGAUAUGCAAUUAAAAAACCACUUUUUUUGUAAAAGUUCUUUUUUGCCCUUUAUUUUUCAGACUAUUGUCUCUAAGACUAGAGCUAACUUUAUAUGUCUCUAAACUAGCAUUUAAAUCUAAGAGCUCGCAAUUCAGGAAGUCAGUGUAAUAUCACUGACAGAGCCUAGGUAGCAGGUAAGAAGGGAUCCAAUGCUAAAUGCUACUCAGGAUGACUUUGUAAUGCCUGUGUUUAUAUACUUUUGCUUUCAGCAUUACAAUCAGGAAUGAAACCUCUUGUCUGGUUAGAAAAACACUUGUAGUGUUUUUGCAUUUAAGCCUUUCUGAUGUUAAAAAGGAAUCAUGGUAGACCUGAUAAAUUCAAGCACUUCAUGUAGACAAUUGUGUGUGUUUUAAAAUAACAGUUUUAUGAUUUUCUUUAAAGGCACUCCCUCUGAUUCCCACAUUCUUGCAUUUAGUUCUCUGCCCUCUCCAUCUUCCAGAGACAACUGUGGGUAGUGAUUUGCUCCACAAAAAGGAUCGAUGAAAUGAAUGUGGCUAAAAUAAAUCUCCAAAAUAAUUCCCUGGAGGAAGGACAGUCUCUGGAGCCAGACCUGCCUGCAGCUCAGGCUGAGGGUUGAUUUUAGAGAGAAGUUUUAGCAGACAUAGACCACUUUCCUUGGGUUUCUAGUGAUGGAGUAAGCAACCAGCAUUGCCAGCACUGGCCUAGCCUUGCGUACUGCUACACCAUUGGGCUUUGACAGAGUGGGCAUGUUCUCCGAAGAUUUUGUUUUGCCAGUUGCAAGAUACUCAAAGGACAGGUUGAAGGACAGUAACUGAUGAGCUGAAUAUACUGCUGCACUUCUUAAGGACUCCACGGAGGACCACAGAGGCGGACUUUAAAGAUGGAAGCAGGCAAAUAUGUCCUAGGAAGUGAGCUCACCUGAGCUGAACUGCGGUAACUGGCCAAAUGGCCGCUCCUUACCAAAGCACUCACCUGUGGCAAGAUCUUUCAUCACAAUGCCUUGGCAGAGGCCUCCAUAAGAAAUGUCUCCCAAAAGUAGAUGGUAGUUAAAGCAUUGUGAAGCAGUGAAGAGGGUGUUUAUGGAAAAUCAAAUCAGGGCUUUACUGGAUCAAAAUGUGUCUGAAGAGCCACCAAGGCAUCUGAGAAUUUCUCUCCUGGUCUUUACCUACCUCCGCAGUUGAUCCAUCUAUUAAGAAACAGAUUUGUUCAUGGCUGGACUCCAGGCAUUUUCUGAUUACAGAUCAUCUGAGAUCCAAGGAGAGCUGUGGAGAUGAAGCAGAGAAAUCUGGCAAUAGUGUGUCAUCACAGAUGAAAGAACUGCUAUUUGCUUUGGUGCCAUACGAAAUCUCAACACAGACUACAAAAGCAUUUCUUCUCCGGAAUUCAUCAAAGCUUUUGGAAGAAACAAAUAAGUCAGAGGACACUACUGAACAAGGUGAAACGUAGUAGUCAGACCAAUCACAGCGCAGACUGAGAUGGAAGAAGUGAGAUGCUGACAUGCUUUUACUUGGUAUGGAAUGGAUUUAAAAUAAGCAUUUACCUACUGUCAAGCUUGAAAGUGAAGCUGAAGAAGAAAUUAGCUGAAGAAGUUCCAGUGCUAGGCUGCUAUGAAAACAGAAGACUUUAAAAAAAAUUGAGAACCUUUUGUACCAAUACUGGAGUAGCACAAUCCUGCUGGUGUUGGGACUGCAGGAGGCACAGUGUGCUCGGCUCAGAAGCAGCACCAAUCACAUCUCCUGUCAACAAAGCAACUUGCUUCACGGAAACAGGGCAAUGAAAACAUCCAACAGACUUCAUAUUUUAUCCAUAUGUAUAAAUGGGGAAACAAGACAGAACCUGAGAGACAUAUGGAUGAACUGCACGCAUGCAUACUCACGUUAUGUUUCACAUGCAAAAAACACAUACUUCAUAUAUUGACAUGAAAUGGCAUCUGCAAUCUGUAUUUGAUGCUUAUUGGUUGUUUUCAUCUUAAUGAUUCUAUGAUUCUACCAUCCUGUCCUCUCUCCUCUGACUCCAUGCUGAAGAGACUCUGAUCUCCUCUCCUAUGGAAAUCACCUCAUAUUCUUGAUGAUCUUACUGCCUUUCUCCACAUCUUCUGUAGUUCCAGACGACAGAUUUAUGGAGAUGAGAAGAACUUGAAAUGAAAGCAAUGCUCCAAAUGUGGGUUUCUCACAGAUUCUAUGCAGUGGUUUGUAGCACUGUUCGACCUAUGUUGCUGGGUGGUCUAUUUCUCUUGUAAUAAUUUCUGGUGUUUAUCACUGAAAGUCUUCUUCCAUAACAUUUGUCCAAGCUACCCAAACUGCUCCUUCAGUAACCAGAUCAGUUCUUGGCUCUUAUUAAGACAUGAUUCCUAUUUCUGGUGUGCUUGGGAAAAAAAAAAGUCCGUUAUUGUUUUGCUUGUUACCUUGCCUUUAUAUCUAAUCCUACCACAAUUUAUGCCCCACUUCUACCUUCCUCCUACAGAUUUCACUCCUACAAUUUAAUGACUAUGUUUUUAAUUCCCGAGAGUCUCAUUUACUCCUGUUCAGCAAUGCUAGCUUCUUUUUCCAAGUGUAGAAGUAGAAUGACACUCUUUUUAAUUGAUUUAGAUUUACGUUGUUACUAAGUAUCACACAGAAACAUACCACAAGACUCCAUGACACCAUUAAGCAUUUUAGCCUACAACUAAUCCUUUUACUUAACCUUUCAAAUUGAGAAACACUGUGGUGGAUAUUCUGCAUGACAUCUCUUUACUAGAAAAGAACUCUUGCAUUUCCUUGCUGGUCUUCCCAUCACUGUAUGCUGUGUGUGUACUUGCAGUGCCUCAGUAGCACUGUAAUACUACGUAAUUAGUUUGUCCCUUCAGAGAGGAUCACAAGGACAAACACUGAAUAUAUGAAUAAAACUAUUUAAGUAUCAGAGCUGCAUACUCACAAAAAUGUGCAUAGAAGAGAGAUACUACAACUGAAAAUGAUUCCUUCCUCAGCAAUGCAUACUAAAAGAUCUUCUGCCUGUCAGGAAUCUGCUUCUCCUCAAAAGGACUGGUCAACAUGUCCACCCACUUCUAAUGCUGUCUGUUUCCUCCUUCCUGCUUUGGACUCAUCCAGACUUACUUGGAAUAAAAUCUGCCCCUUGAUGAGAAUUCCAUGGCAGCACUGAACUGAGUGAAAACUGCUACAGGGAUGGCAGCCCCUGAAAGCUAUGGCAAUGCUGAUGCAAAAUGCUGCUACUGAAGAAUCAUAAAGGUUGGAAAAGACCUCUAAGAUCAUGUAGUCCAACCAUCAGCUUGGAAUAGAACAUAAAACACAAAUUCAGAAGUUACAACCACCAUGCCACUAAACCAUGUCCAUCAGUGCCACAUCUACACAUUUUUUGAACAUGUUCAGGAACUCUACCAUUUCCCUGCGCAGACUGUUCCAAUAUUCCAUCACUCUUUCUUAGAAGAAAUUUUUCCUAAUAUCCAACUUGAACCUCCCCUUGUGUAACUAAAGGCCAUUAUCUCUUGUCCUUUCGCUGUUACCUCACAGAAUCCACUUAAAACAUAUUUUAAUGGUGAAGGUAUUUUUACCUAAUUCCACAUAAAACUGAGAACAGAAUAAAAGCAAAGAUUGAGUAAAUAUAUAAAAUAUAUAGAAUAAAAUAUGAGUCUAAAUAAUGCAGCCCAAAUGCACCAUCACUCUUCUCACCCACAGAGCACAGUAACAGUACAAAAUUAGCAGAGAAAAAACAGAAUUAGUUUUAAUGAGAAUCUUUAACCAUUUAGAAACAGAAACCAGGACUUCAUUUAAAUCAAGAAAUUGAAAGCAAUCACAUUUAAGCUGUUGAGCUCUAGCCCCGCUUUUUCUAUCAGUCACUGUGUUAUGCAUUUCCCUCUUUAUUUUCUGUCAUAUACAAUCUCCUGUGACUAUGGAAACAUCCAGUUCCUAUCAUCUGUAUUUAUGUGCUAAGAUAUCACAGCUAGAAGCAUACCGAUUUACUCAAUUUUGAGUGAAACUAUUUUGGAAAAUAACCCCUUAAAAUGUCACACCAUCAAAGCUUAAAAAGUUUUUGCCAUUGACUUCAAAGGGCACACAGAAAUUUUGGGCAGAAAGGUGUGCUGUGAACAUGAUAAAAAUAAGUAUCUUCUUAGUCUAAAGGUUUCUAACUUUUCUGCUUCUUUUCAUUGAAAUAAACAAAUGUAACUCAAA